AUAAAAUUCCCGAAUGGAAACUGGAGCUAGAGUUUAGAGUUCUGGUUGUGAACCACUGAACAAAGAAAUCUGAGACUGAAAAUCCAGGGUUCCGUGGUAAUGGCCUGGUCACGGCACCUUGACAUGUGGCAGCAACUGAGGGAUCAGGGGUCACAAAUGCAGUCCUACUGGUGAGGAAGGGUUCCAGCAGUGACUGACAGGAGAGGAGGGCUCAUAGGUUCCCAUAUAGAGCAAUACUGCUGCAUCUCCUCUCCUGCUCCAGCAGAUGUGGAUCCCCAUGGUGACAGGAGAAGAACACCAGAGACACUGCAGAUGGAUGAGUUACACAUCACAAAGAGGAGGAGACAGAAUGACAGAGUAUGUGUUAGUGUUGCUAUGUGUGUGUGUGGUGUGUGCAUGUGAAUGUGCGUUUGUAAAAGCAGGUGUGAGAGCACACAUACAGCGUGUGCAUGACUCCAUGUAGACAAAUGUAUAUAUCUGGGCCUGUAGUUUCCUAAUAGAUAGGUGUCAGGAGGAGAGACAGACAGACAAAGAAAGAGAAAGCUCUCAAUUCAAUAUUUCUUAAUUUUGCCAUGUCUCCCGAUCAAAAAUAUACGUGCAGCAAUUUCAACGAUUUGACUGAGUUACGGUUCAUAUAAGGAAAUCUGUCAAUUGAAAUAAAUAAAUAAGGCCCUAAACUAUGGAUUUCACAUGACUGGCAGGGGCGCAGCCAUGGGUGGGCCUGGGAGGGCAUAGGCCCACCCACUUGGGAGAAAGGCCUACUCACUGGAGGGCCAGGCCCAGCCAAUCAGAAUGGGUUUUUCCCCACAAAAGGGCUUUAUUACAGACCGAAUACUCCUCAGUUUUAUCAGCUGUCUGGGUGACUGGUCUCAGACAAUCCCACAGGUGAAGAAGCCAGAUGUGGAGGUCCUGGGCUGGCAUGGUUACACUUGGUCUGGGGUUGUGAGGCCGGUUGGACGUACUGGCAAAUUCUCUAAAAUGAUGUUGAUAAUUAAAUGUUCAUUUUAAUGUUAAUUUCUCUAUCUGGCAACAGCUCUGGUGGACAUUCCUGCAGUCAGCAUGCCAAUUGCACACUCCCUCAAAAUAUGAGACAUCUGUGGCUUUGUGUUGUGUGACAAAACUGCACAUUUUAGAGUGGCCUUUUAUUGUCCCCAGCACAAGGAGCACCUGUGUAAUGAUCAUGCAAUUUAAUUAUCUUCUUAAUAUGCCACACCUGUCAGGUGGAUGGAUGGAUUAUCUUGGCAAAGGAGAAACCCUCACUAACAGGGAUGUAAACAAAUUUGUGCUCAAACUUUGAGAGAAAUAAGCUUUUUGUGCAUAUGGAACAUUUCUGGGAACAAAUUCAAGCAACACUUUACUUGUUGCGUUUAUAUUUUGUGUUCAGUAAUAGUACGGUAGGUCUCAACACCUAAUAGCGAUACUAGUGUCUAUGUGAGAGGAAAAUGGAAAACGUUACAGAGUAUUGGUCGUCAUGGAAACCAAAUUGUCGUAACGCCGUAUGGCUGCUGAAUGGUGAAUUAUGAAAUGUUGGGGAGAUGUUGAGGGUGAGCCCAUGGAGGGUCAUGGACUUGCAGUAGUUUGUACAGCCCUGAAGGUGGCGUGGUAUUGUAUGAUAGGUACUAUACAUUACCAAGCAGAUUAUUCUGUCAUAUUUAGUCACUACACAUAAGCCAACAAAUACUCUUUUCGAUACUUUACUCUUUCUAUUCACCCAUUUCCCUUUUCAUUUGUACACAGCAUGUGAGGAUAUCGUAAUGGUUGUAAACCAUAUGGUUUGAAAACGCAACAAUACCAUAGAUUAUCAUCAUCACUUUUGAGCCAGCGUGAGUGGCACAAAAAUUAGACAGGCAUGCCGUUAUGUGGGUUUUAUCUGAGCACACAGUCAAAUGGAGAGUGAAGGGGCAUCAUUCUCACUGGGGCUUAAUGUGUUUGGACUCACAGGGCUAAGAGUAAUGACAGCUUCGCCAGACAACAGAAUCCUCCCGCCGUGCCACGCCUGCUAAAACAGCCCCGUCACAUCGUAUCCUAGCAGCACCCAGGGCAAAUAGACACUACUCUGUCAGAGGAGGAAUUCAUACCCACAAAGCACUGCUGCCAGACCCCCUCUCUUCCAGUCUCCCCCAUCGCGCACAAUCAUCUUUAGGUGUCACCAUGUCCACACACCCACUCAGGACCAGAGAGGCAGACGGGGGCUUUGGGGGAGGUAGGGGUGUGCAGAAGCUUGUCUAUUUUGAGGUCAUGUUUGAUAAGCCCUUCCUAUGAAGUGACGAGAUGAAAUGACAGUUUGCCAAAAGCGGGUCACGGGGCAGGGUGUAGGCAGCCUAGCAUGGUCGUCUAUGGACAUAAUUAGGCAUUAAUCAUCCUAUCAGUUAAUUACUGGACUACUGGUUGUUUUCUCUCAGGAAAGAUCUCUUCUGGAUACCAGCUCAACAUAGGGAACAGAUUUCUGAUUCAUACGUAUAAUGUUCCUUCUUCUCUCCGGUUCCCUUAUUAUAAUAGUUGUGAUGGGAAAACAAUGGCUUUGCUCUUAUUCUAGCUGCAGGCGCCAUCUGGGAGCGAGAUGUGCAUUACAGGAGCUAUCCAUAUGGUCGGGGCAUCAUGACUUUGCUCAUCUCAUCUCCCGUCAACAUCUCUUCUGCUUACGUCCUCUCUCAAAUGAUCCACAUACACAUUCUAAACAGAAAGACAAAAACAUGCUCGUGUUUAUGUAUUUUUGCAGAGAUUAUACAAUUGUACACAUAACAGUCGGUAUUAGAUUCAAAUGUUAAACUCAUGUCUUCAAUACUCUUAAAAUGUACAUUUCCCCAUGAAUCGGGUGCUAUAGAUUAAGACUCUUCAUACAAUCUGAUUAUAGUACAUUUAUUAUAAUACAGAAAAUGAUUUGCCACCUCCAUAUCAUCCCCACCCCCAGUCGUUGUUCAGUGUCGGGAGCUGGGGGCUUUUUUAAACCCAUCUGCUGUCUCGCACCUUCUAAUCUGCCCCCCCCCCCCCCCCCUC